GGGCACGACACCGGAGAGGGAGCCUGAGAAACGGCUACCACANCCAAGGAUGGCAGCAGGCGCGCAAAUUACCCAAUCCCGACACGGGGAGGUAGUGACAAUAAAUAACAAUACGGGGUUCUUUAGGAUCUCGUAAUUGGAAUGAGUACAAUUUAAAUCUCUUAACGAGGAACAAUUGGAGGGCAAGUCUGGUGCCAGCAGCCGCGGUAAUUCCAGCUCCAAUAGCGUAUAUUAAAGUUGUUGCAGUUAAAAAGCUCGUAGUUGAAUUUCGGGGUUAGUAGGUUGGUCAUGCCUCUGGUAUGUACUGGUCUCACUGAUUCCUCCUUCCUUAUGAACCGUAAUGCCAUUAAUUUGGUGUUGCGGGGAAUUUGGACUGUUACUUUGAAAAAAUUAGAGUGUUUAAAGCAAGCUAACGCUUGAAUACAUUAGCAUGGAAUAAUGAAAUAGGACGUUCGAUCUUAUUUUGUUGGUUUCUAGGAUUGACGUAAUGAUUAAUAGGGAUAGUUGGGGGCAUUAGUAUUCAAUUGUCAGAGGUGAAAUUCUUGGAUUUAUUGAAGACUAACUACUGCGAAAGCAUUUGCCAAGGAUGUUUUCNUUAAUCAAGAACGAAAGUUAGGGGAUCGAAGACGAUCAGAUACUGUCGUAGUCUUAACCAUAAACUAUGCCGACUAGGGAUCGGAUGAUGUUAAUUUUU
rnacentral:rRNA from 1 species